rnacentral:tRNA from 1 species
GCGGGUGUGGUAUAGCGGCUAUUAUGCCACCCUUCCAAGGUGGAUACGCGGGUUCAACUCCCGCCACCCGCA